rnacentral:rRNA from 1 species
GCAAGUCGAGCGGUAGAAGAAUUUAGCUUGCUAAAUUCUUUGAGAGCGGCGAACGGGUGAGUAACACGUUGGUAUCUGCCCCCAAGUCAGGGAUAGCCAUUGGAAACGAUGAUUAAUACCGGAUAGUCUCUUCGGAGUAAAGGUUUAUUGCUUGGGGAGGAACCUGCGUUCUAUCAGCUAGUUGGUGAGGUAAUGGCUCACCAAGGCGACGAUCUAUAGCUGGUCUGAGAGGAUGAUC